UUCAUUUUUGUUUUAUACUCAUAGGAGGAUGCAUUAACUGUCCUUGUAGAUUAAUGUUUACAUUAAUCUUCAUCUCUUACUAUUUUCUUAGAAUAGGUUUCCAAAUGUGGAAUUACUAGGUCAAAGGGUAUGAUCUCUUGAAACUUUUUUUUUUAAUUGCAGUUCUUUCAAGUAAAAUCCCAAUGCAUUGAAUUCCAAGGAUGUUCUAAAUUAUUUGACCUUUACACUGGUUACACGUGGCACAGUGGGGAGAGCCUGGGCUUUGGGUCAGCCUGAUCGUGUUUGCAAGAUUGAUCAAACUAGCUAGUGAAAGAGUGUUAUAGGGAUUAGAAAUAAUAUAUAUAAAAUGCCUGACACACUGAUCACUUAGAUAAUGGGAGUUAUUUACGUUACCACUGCUGCUACUACUACUAAUGAGUAAAAUGAUACGAUUAAUAAAUAAAGUAACUUAGUUGAGGGAAUAAGAUAUUUUUAAAGAGAUAUUUCUAUGUGAUGUCUUUAAAUAACAUAGCAAUCUAGUGCGGUGCCUAAGUGCUAAAAUCAUAAAUGAAGAGGUAAAUAUCCAAGGAGUUUGGGAACACAGUGUAGCUAUAUCUGGAAAUAUAGGUGGCCUUAGACAAAGGUUGGAAAGUAAAUUUUCCAAUUGAUGGUCAGCAUUUGAAUAAAUUGCUGAAUAAAGGGAUAUUAGGGUUGAACGUUAAAUUGGGGCCAGAUUUUAGACCCUUAAGACAAGCAUGAGGAGUUGACACUUUAUUCUUUAGACAGGGAGGGAUUUACAGAUGAGUGAGUAGAAGAAUAAGAGAUGUAAGCAGGUCUGUUGGAACGUUAAUCUAACUGUCAUUUCUUUAUCCAUUGCCUCUGGCUGUGGCUGUACCAUGUGAUCUUUUCUUCUGUUUUAUUCUUCCUGUGAUUUCCAAAAUCCCAAUUUUAAUUUGUAAGAAAAUAGAGAUAUAGAAAUUAUGUUCCAAGAAAGCUCCUCAUGUGAGUGGAAGCUGUACAUAUGGAUUCUAAGCCUGCUGAUUUCAAAUCUAGUGUUUCUCCCUCCAUUUUCUGCAGAAUAUAACUUUUCAUAGCAUCUCUGUGCAGACAAAUCUAGAAAUCAUAGAAUGUGACCUAUAUUUUUCACACUUACUAAUUCCUCCCAAAUUAUUUGUACCCUGACUAUAGUAUAUAAAGUGUGGCUUUUUACUCCUUAUGCAAGAGCUAAUUCCAAAUAUUUGGCUCAAUUUUUGUGCUUCUCUGUGGGAGAGUUUCUUCCUUUUUAAAAAUAAAUUUAAUCAGUAUCUGAGGAUUUCAAUGAAUCUUUUCCUCCUUCAUUGACGAGUUUGCAUUCUGCAGGCAUAUAUCCUCAAUUGAUAUUUAUCCAGGCUUUCGAUAAAUUUAUGUUUUAAUAUUCAAAGCCCUUGUAUAUAAGUUACAAAUAAAACUUGUAUUACAACCAUGCAAAAAUAAAAUGCUGCACCCUACUGCCACCAAUGACAUUAAUGACUAAUGAUAGAACAAAUAACAUUAAUAUCAUUAAAUGAUUAUUAAAAGAAAACCCAAGUUAUGUCAUUACUCAUUUCAUAGGUGCUUAUGUAGAUAGUUUAAUGUACUAAGUAGGAUGAAAUUCAGACAUUUCUUCUCCUGCAUUUGGAUUUGAACUACAUCCAGUAUGUUUCAAAUGUUAAAGAAAUUCAAAUGAAUUAUCACUGUGAACAAGUGUUUUAGAAAAUUGCUUCUGUGGUUAGCAAUAGAGAAACUCUAAACUUAUAACACAGACUUAAAUUCUGUUGCCAGUGUUUCAGCUUCUGAUCUUCAUAUCAGCAAAGAGGGUCUCAUUUCAAAACUUGUAUUUAUACCAAAAUCUAUUCUUUUAUAUGGUUUGCAUAACUGAGUCACCAAGUUUUGGCAGGGCAGGAACUGACAUUAUAAAUAAUGCUUUUUUGUAACCUGACUGUCAUUUCCCUGCAGGUAAACUGGAGUACGUGAAGACUCAUACUGUACCUGUUAAGUCAACUUGGGGGAAAAAAUGAAUUAGGAGAGCCAGUUUUCCUGUUUACUGAGAUUAAACCUCUUACGCGUGUUAGCACAUGCAAUAGUGCUUUCAAAAACAAAUCCUUGAAAAAUAAUGAUAUAUUUCCCUCUUGGGCAAAGUCAAACCCUAAAGCCAUUGCUCUUAAUGUCUCUUAUUUUUAUAUAAAAAUGUUGUGCCUCAGUACACGAUUAAAUGAAGGAAGGAAUGUACUUAAUAAAUUAGUCGGCAGAAAGCAAAUUCAAAGUAUGUAUAAAUAUGCAGACACACAUACACACACACAGAGUUAUAUCUGUUGACCUAAUAAUGAUGACACAUCUGAAAACCUCAUAAGAGGUUGAAGAUGGCUAAAUUUUGAUUUGUAGUUACUUAGUUCUACAGAAGAGCUAUAGCCAGCUUUGAGACUCCAUUUCUCAGUAACUGGCAUUCAUGAUUCUGAUUUUAUGGUGUUCAGAGUUCAGUUAUAUUUUACAACUUGCAAUUUAAAAAAAUCAUCUACUCACCCAUUUCACACAUAUUUCUUAUGCAUUUAAAUAUGAAAAAUUCAAAGUAGGUAGUGGCAACUCUCUCAGUAUUUUCCAAAAAUAGAGUAAUCUAUCAAGAUCCAAGGCUAAAUAGCUUCAAUAGUUCCAGAGAACACUAGCUAAGUACACAUCACAUAAGCAGUUCUCUUAGAGUAGCAGACAAUUAAAAUGUUAUUUUUAUUUCCUUGUAGAGUUUCUCUGAACAUCUACCUGACCAAAGCAUCAUUUAGCACAAAAGACUUAGUCACCAAUGCCAUAUCCAUAGUUUCAAAAUCCAGACAGAAUAAUGGAACUUUAUGCGUCUCCUUAAUCCAGGGCUCAAAAUGAAUCAGUGCCCUUCCCUAAGUGAAUUAAGCACAGAAAUCAGUUCCCUCCUCUCUACGUUCUGUCUUCUUUCCUCAUGCACUGCUUGCCUUGGUUCAUUUUUCUUCUCCAUGGUCCACAUAUUGUUUCAAAUCCUACAAAAAGGGGAUUGGAACCCAAACAUAGCCAGUGAUCCAGGCAGAGUGCUCAGAACUAUAUGACUACCAUAAGCAUUUGGUUCAUCUCUAGAAAUGUAGCUCAGGAUCUGCUUGAUUCCAGCUCCACAGGCUCCAUUGAAAAGCAUAACCUCUCAAAGCCACAUGUGGGAAAAGCACCAAGCACACUUAAUAAUAAAAAACUAACCCAUACCCUGCAGGUGAGACAAUCCAGUCAGCACAAAAAAAAAAAAAAAAAAAAAAAUUGAAAUUAUUUCUCCAUAAGUGAAAGCAUUCUCUGUGAAUUGACUUACAGGCCAUGACAUAAAACCAAAGAAAAGGAGGAAAGAAUAGAAAAAAAGAAAGAACUCUAGGCACCCACAGAUGUUCUGUUCUUUCUCUUGUCUCCUGAAACCUCUUCGGAGUCUCCAUCGGAAGGCAGCCUGAUCUGCAGCCCAUUGCAAGCAACAUGGGACCUGGAGAUCUCUCUUACAAACGGUUUCACCCCUAACUCCACUGAAGACCCCCUCAGACCAAGAAAAAUUUUUCUCACGAGAGAGUUUGAGAGAGUCUAUGAAUUCAUGCUCGAAGUGAAUUUCAUAAUUUCCUCUCUGUGCCAAUCCCAGGGUAUUUAUUUCUCUUACGUAAUUUCCAGGGAGUCCGUUCCAUGACCCCACUUCUAUUCUGUUGGUCUACUGAGGGACCUUACCGUCAAACAGUUACCCUUGGUGAGAACAUACCCGAGGACUGAUAUAUGACUGCAAAGGAACUUAACAAUUCCUGGAAGGAAAAGGGUUAAGAGCCAGUAAAAACAGCAUAAAUUUACACAUGACCUAGUAUGAUUGUACUUUUAUUCUCUUCCUUGCAAGGAACAACAACAAUGGCAACCUCCAAAACUUACACUUCUGGUCUCAAAAGCCUUCUCCCGAAAGGAGAUAUUUUCACCCACUAAAGAUGAUCUCAACAACUUUCUGGUUAGAAAGGAUCUCUAGACAGAGACAUGAACUUGCUGGCGAGUUUUCUUUCAAAAGAACCUAAAAGGUUCAUUACAUCAUGGAAAAAUCAUCUCAACUAUUGGGCUGAAGGGAGCAGCUUGUGUGAAUGGUUUGUGAUGGCUUGAUUCUGGCUGACAAGUUCUAGAAUUAUAACUGCUUUGUCCCAAUCCUAACUUGCUAGGAAGGGAGAUGGCUUGAAUAGCCAGAGGACUUGGCUUCAAAAAGAAUUAUGAGCAGAUAAAAGCCACUGCAGUGGUUUAAGCAAAAAAAAGAACUGGCCCUGAGGAGAAAUAGAGAACAUGCUUUUCUUUUCCUUUAUAGAUGGGAUCAAAUGCUCCAAAGAGUGAAUGAGACAGAUGCCUCAGUCCUCUGUCCUAACCCUGCAGUGGAGGCUUCCCUAGAUGAGCAAGGUAGCUCAUUGCAAACUGAGCUCUCAGGAGGGGAAUCACAUGGCCCAGUAGAAAGCAGACAGAGCUGGGCUGCAGCCACUGAGAGGCCAAGAUGCAAUUAUGAUCUUUCAUUUGCUGAGGUGGCUACAAAGAACACUGGGUACUCAGCAACUAAGAGUCUAUUCAGCUUUGAAAUAUUUAGCCCUGAAGACUUAAGUCUCCAAACUCUGCACAAGAGAUCUCAAACCACAGGCAUGGAUAUUCCCGAGGAAAGGAGCAUGGGAUGACAUGAUGAGGCAAGAUGCUGCUUGCCCCCAGCCAAAUCUCAUGACCCAACCACACAGUCUAAAAGGUUCGUGUUAAGUUGCUUUAGUAAACUAAGAACAGUGAAAGAAGAAAUUGCAAAUUCACUUGGACGUAAGGUUUUUCUUACUGAAGAAAAGCUCAAAGGCUAUGCAGACCGGUGAUGAUUUCCCGGCAACAUUAUGAUUUCACCUCUUCAGGAAAAUGCCCCUGUGAGGAGGCCUUGCUUUCUCUCUGACCACCGAUGGAUCUGAACUGAGUCUCAGUUACUAGCUUCCAUUUUCAAAGACCUCAUAUCUAGAAGAAUCUUUGCAGAGAAUUUGUCAAGUGCCUCCCUGUCCUUAAUUGGUCUGUUGUGUUAUCCCUACUUGCACGCUAGUGUCCAAAGUUAUUCUUUCCAGAGUGUGGGUCACAAUGCUCCUUUAAAGACAGAAGUGAGAGAGACAGGUCACACCAAAUUUAGAACUGAGGCAGAGCCCUGUGAUUUAGAGAGUACCAAGGGUGUGUAGGGGUGGUUUCUAGAAGUCCAAAGGUGAAGCUCACCUUAAAAAAACACAGGGCCUUGCAGGACAUUCAGAACAGAAGAAUCAAUGCUUGUAAUGAGUAGAAU